CUCUCUCUCUCUCUCUCUCUCUCUCUCUCAUCCGGCUCUCUCUCGCCUUUCACCUCUCUAUCAACUUCUCUCCUAAAUUUCAUCUUCUUAGAGCAAGAUUUCGGACAAAGUCCGAGAAUUAAAGUUGUUCUACGGAGCAAGGGCUUUCCGAAUAUCCAAGAAAAUUCAUGAUCGGACCACGUGGGAGUUCGGUUGACUUGGUCAAAGGGUCGGGUUUUGCUCAAAACCCUCGAGGUACACCAUAGGAGCACAGUCAUGGAGAGUAUGGAGUGCAUGCAGACAUCACAAGCUAAAGUUAUUUUCUAAAGUACUUGUCUUUCUUCGUAAAUCGAACUGCAUUGUACUAUUUUCUCUAGUUUGGAAUACUGCAUCAGUUUGACAGAUUUGUGAGAUUCGGGAAUUGUAUUGUAAUUUGGAGUAUCGUAUGUACUAUUGUGAGGAUUUGUAUUUAAAA